rnacentral:lncRNA from 1 species
GUUGAAAUGGUCGUAGAGGCCCGCAUCGAGCGCGUUCCAGGUGCGCGCGGCCCGCGCCAGCGCCUCGGGGAUGGUGGCCAGGCGCGACGAGGCAGCGCGCGCGUUGAGCUUGGCGUAGAGCACGUCGUCCAGGUCCCAGGCCAGUAGACGCCGCAGCAGCACGAGGGACUCGUCGAAGUACUCCGCGAUCAUGACGAGCGAGAAGACCUCCUCCACCUGGCGGAUGAGGCCCGCCAGGUAGGCUGCGUCGUCACGAGGGCUGCGCUCAUUGUCGCCUCCAAGGUCGUAGGCCAGCGUGUUGUGAGCAAACAUGGCGAAGUGCUCGCCUGGACGGUAGUAGGCCUCGGGUGCGCGCAGGAAAGUCUCGAGCGACGCAUUGGGCACGCGCCUGAAGGCCGGGCAGUACUGGUUGUAGUAGCUGAAAAGCGACUCGAACAUGGCCGCGGGUUCGCGCAGGAUGGUGACAUAGAUCGUGUCUGGAGGCAUGAGGCGCUCGAGUUCUGCACGGUCGAAGCGCAGAUGGCUGGCCAGCAUGUGCGGGGGCCUCGUAGCUGGGUGCACGAAGUGGGCCGAGAAGUUUCGCGGGAUAAUGUGCAUUAGAAGGAGGCGGUCCCAAAGAAACUGAGCACCGAGUACUGUCAGCCUGCUUGAAGAGCUGGAGAGUGCGGAACUACCUGAACUUUCUCAGAUUGCUUUUAGUCAGUCCUUCAGAAAAGACUGUGUGUCUGGCAGACACCUUGACUGAAAACCUGCAAGAGACCUGGAGUCACGAGUUCUCGGCCGCAUUUGGAUUCAUGAUUUAUAGAAAUGGAAAGAGAAUAAAUGUUUGUUGUUU